rnacentral:rRNA from 1 species
UAACGCGAAGAACCUUACCAGGUCUUGACAUCUUCUGCUAACCUAAGAGAUUAGGCGUUCCCUUCGGGGACGGAAUGACAGGUGGUGCAUGGUUGUCGUCAGCUCGUGUCGUGAGAUGUUGGGUUAAGUCCCGCAACGAGCGCAACCCUUAUUGUCAGUUGCCAGCAUUCAGUUGGGCACUCUGGCGAGACUGCCGGUGACAAACCGGAGGAAGGUGGGGAUGACGUCAAAUCAUCAUGCCCCUUAUGACCUGGGCUACACACGUGCUACAAUGGACGGUACAACGAGUCGCGAAACCGCGAGGUCAAGCUAAUCUCUUAAAGCCGUUCUCAGUUCGGAUUGUAGGCUGCAACUCGCCUACAUGAAGUUGGAAUCGCUAGUAAUCGCGGAUCAGC